rnacentral:rRNA from 1 species
GAUGAACGCUGGCGGCGUGCCUAAUACAUGCAAGUCGAGCGAACGGACGAGAAGCUUGCUUCUCUGAUGUUAGCGGCGGACGGGUGAGUAACACGUGGAUAACCUACCUAUAAGACUGGGAUAACUUCGGGAAACCGGAGCUAAUACCGGAUAAUAUUUUGAACCGCAUGGUUCAAAAGCGAAAGACGGUCUUGCUGUCACUUAUAGAUGGAUCCGCGCUGCAUUAGCUAGUUGGUAAGGUAACGGCUUACCAAGGCAACGAUGCAUAGCCGACCUGAGAGGGUGAUCGGCCACACUGGAACUGAGACUCGGUCCAGACUCCUACGGGAGGCAGCAGUAGGGAAUCUUCCGCAAUGGGCGAAAGCCUGACGGAGCAACGCCGCGUGAGUGAUGAAGGUCUUCGGAUCGUAAAACUCUGUUAUUAGGGAAGAACAUAUGUGUAAGUAACUGUGCACAUCUUGACGGUACCUAAUCAGAAAGCCACGGCUAACUACGUG